rnacentral:lncRNA from 9 species
AAACUUGGGUUUCUUCAGUGAUGCAGACGUGCGCACACGGUGUGCUGUGGGGGGCUCUCAUCGGGGGCUUGCUAGGGUUUUGUAAACAGCUGUUUGACGGGAGCUACUACGAUCUGGAUUACGAGCUGUACAGGGAAGAAUUCCCCUACAGGGUGUGUGACUACCAAAGGAUCCCUCCACUAAUCAACCGUGCACCUACCAAGAUCCGGGGGACCCACGUGGGCCCGGGGGUCAAGCACAGCUUUAGUCCCCACAAGGCUCCCAGGACUAGUCAACUGCCUGCAGGGCAGAUAAAGCUCCAGACUGAGGAGCUGCACUCCAUCAGAGGAGAGCUGAGCCAGAUCAAAGCCCAGGUGGAUCACCUGCUGGAGACUGUGGACCGCAUGGACCAGCAGAUGGACCAGCUUCCAGGUAAAGAAUCACGCAUCAGACCAGGAGGGCAGCCAGUAGAAGGCUGGAACUCCCCCAGUCUCAUCAGCUCCAGGCACUUUCUUCGGCGGUUCCUAUCCCCUGCCUUGAGUAGCACCCACGCUGGAGCAAGCGCAAAGAAGUGGAGGCAUGGCUCAGCCAGUCCAGCUGGGAAGCCUCCCCCCAGUGCUGACUUUAGCUUGAGGAUCAUGUUUCCAGAUGACCAUCUGGGGGCUAGCGGGGAAGGAAGGAGCCCUCCAAGUGCCCAGCACCAGCUCACCAUUCUCAUAAAGUUGAGGCCACUCCUGUUAAGAGGCAGCUGGAAAGGGCCCCCCUGGGAGCACCACCAGCCCUCUGACUACAGGUACCUCCCUAGCUGCUUCUCCCCGCCCCUCGCCAAAGCCUUACCUGUCCUCUCUGGGUCUCAGCAGGAGUAUCACUUUUAUGUUGUUUCUACCUUGUCUCUUGCUGGUGUGAUCUUACAUAUUUCAGAUCUGCUUUGGAAAAAUAUGUCACUGAGGAGAAAUAAAAUUUUCUUUUCCCUGGUCAGGGGUCCUUAGUGUAGUCUCAAAGCCUCACUACAGUCUCUCAACUGCCCCUUUCUAGAGAAGCUGAGCAGGCCUCGGAGACACACAAGCUCAGAAGCUCACACCAAGUCAGGGC